UACGUAGGGUGCAAGCGUUGUCCGGAAUCAUUGGGCGUAAAGCGCGUGUAGGCGGCUCGGUCAGUCUGAUGUGAAAUCUUGGGGCUCAACCCCAAGCGGUCAUUGGAUACUGCCGAGCUAGAGUCCGGAAGAGGAGAGUGGAAUUCCUGGUGUAGCGGUGGAAUGCGCAGAUAUCAGGAGGAACACCAAUGGCGAAGGCAGCUCUCUGGUACGUGACUGACGCUGAGACGCGAAAGCGUGGGGAGCAAACAGG
rnacentral:rRNA from 1 species